rnacentral:lncRNA from 1 species
ACCAUUUUAACAAGUGGUAAAUCAUAUUUCUUUGUCAUGGUUCUAUGUGGAACACUGGGAAGAAAGUAUCCCUCCUGACCCGAGGGCCUGCCUGCACGGUGGAGCACAUGUAAGGUUUACCUACAAGACACAUAAGAGGCCACCUCGAAGACUAUGAAGAAUGUUUGGGGACACUGAACUUCAAUGGUUUGUGAUAGAAAAUCUAGUAGCCCUUUGAUUUCUUUCCAAAAAAAUUUAUCUUUGACGUAUUUUAAUUAGUGUACUUAAAGCAGGGGAAUAUAUGGCACUAACAAACUCUCAGUAAAUGAAUUGACAGCUAGAGCAAGACUAUCUGGAGAGAAUGUCUAUAGAACUUUCUGCCCCAUGCAUUUAAAUGGGUGCUCUAACUGGGCAGGACUGGCUGAUAAAUUUGUCCUGUGAAAUUGGAGGAAUGCCGCUUUCUGUCUUCCCUGCACCUCACCCACUUCCCUGCAGUGUGUCUUUCCCACACUGAUAAACUAGGGAUUCAGCUCUGGGGAGAUUUUUCUAACUACUGUUGGGAUUGGUAUGAGGCAAGAUUGAAUCUAAGAAGGAAUGUUCUAAUGCCUAGAGAAAAAAAAAUUCAUCCCAAGAGAAGAAGGAGUCUUGCUUGGCAAAUCCAGUAUGGGGACUAACCAGUAUAUUUGUGCCUGUGAGCACCUGGGGAGAAGAAUGGCUCCGGAUGAAAAUAGAUCCAGUUUGUUUUCAAGUUUGGCAAUACUGAGGGGCAAAAUAAUUUUGGCCUUUCCCUAGUGAGCACCACACAGAAGGAAAGGUUGUUUCCUCCCAACUCUUCUGGAGCAUUUAUUAUUGCCUGGGGAGAAUUGGCAUGGACUGGCUUUGAACAACGGUGGUGGAUUACCAGUAGCAAGUGACUGAUGAGAGAGCAAGAAGAGAAUGAUGGGAAUUCCCAGAGAGACUUUAAGAAAGGAGCUCCAAAAAGAUUUGGACUUCCCACAUGGGCUAGUGAAGCACUGGAACUCUCUGGAUUUGAAUAUUAGUAUUAAUGAAAUUGCAAUUGCUUUAGUAGGCUUGAAAUAUUAUAGACAAGGCAUCACUGAUUCAGGUUACAGAUUUUGGAAGGGGAUAUUUAUCUGGAUGGAAGACUCCAAAUGGUGACGAUUUUCUUCUCUCCCACCUUCCUUCCUCAACCCACACCAAGGAUUGAUUGCUGCUGGAUGGAACAGUUCGAUUAAGAUGCAUAACAUUUGGACCUCCAAGGGAUGUGGAGAAAUGAAACAGCAAAAAGAAACAAACAAAAACUAUCAGUGCAAAAUGUCAUAGAAAAAAAAGAAGAAAAUAAGAAAACAUAAUAAACAGAAAGUACAGGAUGAAAUGGUACAAAAAUUUAAAUAUCCACAUUUAAAUAAAUAUUAAUGGGAUUAAUAUAUACUCUUAGAUUGGAUAAACUAAAGAUUGAUCUCUUUCCUGGAUUAAGGACACACAGUGAAAUAUCACUUAAAAUUGAGAAUAAAGCAUUGGAAAAAGAAAUUUCCAGCAAAUACUUAGAACAAGGAAGUAGAUGUGGACAUUUAGUAAAAUUGGGUAAAUGAUAAUUCAAGUUGAAGGCUUUGAAUGGAAGAGGACACACAAGAAUGUUUUAUAUUGAAAAAUAAAAUCUGCUGAGAAGACACCUGCCAUUGUUUUUGCCUAAAUGACUUCAGAGGUGUCCUAAUUGGUCUCCUUUCUUUCACUUUUGCCCCGGUACAUCCUCUUUUUAAUAGAAAAGUCAGAUUUGGAAACAUCAUUCCUCUAAUUACCCCUCCACUGGCUUUCAAAUUCAUUGCGACCAGAAGCCAAUUCUAUACUAGAGCCUUGAAGCUCUAACUCCGUCACCCCCAUUACCUCCUGACAACCUCAUCUGCUCUACUCCCCCAUGACUUACUUUGGUCAAGCAAAGGAAACUUGUUGCUCCUCAGAUGUGCCCCUAGCACCCUCUUGCCUAUGGCCUUCCCACUAGCUGUUCUGUCUUUGUCUCUAGACUACUCGUUUACCUUCAGAAUUUGCCACCCUACUUAACAUUACUACCCUCCCCUUCAAGCUCCACAUGGCUAUCUUUACCUUAUCUCCCAUUCACUGGUCUUA